rnacentral:rRNA from 1 species
UAGGGAAUCUUCGGCAAUGGGGGCAACCCUGACCGAGCAACGCCGCGUGAGUGAAGAAGGUUUUCGGAUCGUAAAGCNCUGUUGUAAGUCAAGAACGGGUGUGAGAGUGGAAAGUUCACACUGUGACGGUAGCUUACCAGAAAGGGACGGCUAACUACGUGCCAGCAGCCGCGGUAAUACGUAGGUCCCCGAGCGUUGUCCGGAUUUAUUGGGCGUAAAGCGAGCG